GACGAACGCUGGCGGCGUGCUUAACACAUGCAAGUCGAACGGAAAGGCCCUGCUUUUGUGGGGUGCUCGAGUGGCGAACGGGUGAGUAACACGUGAGUAACCUGCCCUUGACUUUGGGAUAACUUCAGGAAACUGGGGCUAAUACCGGAUAGGAGCUCCUGCUGCAUGGUGGGGGUUGGAAAGUUUCGGCGGUUGGGGAUGGACUCGCGGCUUAUCAGCUUGUUGGUGGGGUAGUGGCUUACCAAGGCUUUGACGGGUAGCCGGCCUGAGAGGGUGACCGGUCACAUUGGGACUGCGAUACGGCGCAGACUCGUACGGGAGGCAGCAGUGGGGAAUAUGGCAGAAUGGGCGGAAGCCUGAUGCAGCAACGCCGCGUGCGGGAUGACGGCCUUCGGGUUGUAAACCGCUUUCGCCUGUGACGAAGCGUGAGUGACGGUAAUGGGUAAAGAAGCACCGGCUAACUACGUG
rnacentral:rRNA from 1 species